GAUCCUGGCUCAGGAUGAACGCUGGCGGCGUGCCUAACACAUGCAAGUCGAACGGACUUACAUUGAAGCCUAGCGAUAUGUAAGUUAGUGGCGGACGGGUGAGUAACGCGUGGGUAACCUGCCUUGUACGUGGGGGACAACAGUUGGAAACGACUGCUAAUACCGCAUAAGCGCACAGCUUCGCAUGAAGCAGUGUAGAAAAACUCCGGUGGUACAAGAUGGACCCGCGUCUGAUUAGCG
rnacentral:rRNA from 1 species